UGGGGAUGCUUCCAGGAACUUGGGCUUAUGUUAGUGUCGGUGCCUUUGGAAGAGCAAUAAUUCAAGAUGAAUCUGAACUUAGUAAUAUAUUUGGAGGAAACAAUCAGCUGUUAACUCUUGGGCUGGGACUGUUGGCCACUGCAUUGGCUGCUACAUAUGUCACACGACUUGCAAAGGUAGCAAUGGAAUACUGCCUUUAUAGUCUUAACGUACAUUCAAACCAGGG